rnacentral:rRNA from 1 species
UACGUAGGGUGCAAGCGUUGUCCGGAAUUACUGGGCGUAAAGAGUUCGUAGGCGGUUUGUCGCGUCGUUUGUGAAAACUCACAGCUCAACUGUGAGCCUGCAGGCGAUACGGGCAGACUUGAGUACUGCAGGGGAGACUGGAAUUCCUGGUGUAGCGGUGAAAUGCGCAGAUAUCAGGAGGAACACCGGUGGCGAAGGCGCCACUCUGGGCCGUAACUGACGCUGAGGAGCGAAAGCGUGGGUAGCAAACAGG